rnacentral:lncRNA from 1 species
UGCAUUACUUCCAGAUGCCGAGACCGAGAAACAAAGUACAAAGCCACGCAGUGCUAGCCUUUCAAAUGACAAUGUAGUUUCACCGAAAACUUCAGACAAGGGUAAAUCAAAGAAAGCUGCGACUGUCUCAAAGGAGAGUGAGAAUCCUCUGAAGGAGAAAACAGUUCCCGUCAAUGUAUCAAGCCCAGCGAAAGAAGCAGCCAAGAGAUCAGUAAGUCCAUAAAAAGAUGGACCAGACAAGGCCCAAUCAAAUAUAAGUGGCGGCAACAUCAGUCAAUGGAGAGUCAGAAGUUGUAUAAGAAACCUAUAAUGAGGGAG